CCGAAUUGUCAACAAGAGUUGUUGCUGGUCCCUGUAUGGGGGCAUGUGCACGCUCUGUUUACACAUCCACUCACACCUGUGCACCCUCUGUAGUUCUAUGGCCUGGGUGGGCUCUGCCCUCCCGCUGUGGUCCUACGUUUUUACACACACACUACAACAAAGUCUCAUGGAAUGUAUGUCGCGUUUAACGCAAUGAAAUA
rnacentral:misc_RNA from 1 species